rnacentral:rRNA from 1 species
GGUUAAGCGACUAAGCGUACACGGUGGAUGCCCUGGCAGUCAGAGGCGAUGAAGGGCGUGCUAAUCUGCGAUAAGCGCCGGUAAGGUGAUAUGAACCGUUAUAACCGGCGAUACCCGAAUGGGGAAACCCAGUGUGACUCGUCACACUAUCAUUAACUGAAUCCAUAGGUUAAUGAGGCGAACCGGGGGAACUGAAACAUCUAAGUACCCCGAGGAAAAGAAAUCAACCGAGAUUCCCCCAGUAGCGGCGAGCGAACGGGGAGGAGCCCAGAGCCUGAAUCAGCAUGUGUGUUAGUGGAAGCGUCUGGAAAGGCGCGCGAUACAGGGUGACAGCCCCGUACACAAAAGCGCAUGUGCUGUGAGCUCGAUGAGUAGGGCGGGACACGUGGUAUCCUGUCUGAAUAUGGGGGGACCAUCCUCCAAGGCUAAAUACUCCUGACUGACCGAUAGUGAACCAGUACCGUGAGGGAAAGGCGAAAAGAACCCCGGCGAGGGGAGUGAAAAAGAACCUGAAACCGUGUACGUACAAGCAGUGGGAGCACCCUUUGGGUGUGACUGCGUACCUUUUGUAUAAUGGGUCAGCGACUUAUAUUCUGUAGCAAGGUUAACCGAAUAGGGGAGCCGGAGGGAAACCGAGUCUUAA